rnacentral:rRNA from 1 species
AUGAACGCUGGCGGCGUGCCUAAUACAUGCAAGUCGAGCGAACAGACGAGGAGCUUGCUCCUCUGACGUUAGCGGCGGACGGGUGAGUAACACGUGGAUAACCUACCUAUAAGACUGGGAUAACUUCGGGAAACCGGAGCUAAUACCGGAUAAUAUAUUGAACCGCAUGGUUCAAUAGUGAAAGACGGUUUUGCUGUCACUUAUAGAUGGAUCCGCGCCGCAUUAGCUAGUUGGUAAGGUAACGGCUUACCAAGGCGACGAUGCGUAGCCGACCUGAGAGGGUGAUCGGCCUCACUGGAACUGAGACACGGUCCAGACUCCUACGGGAGGCAGCAGUAGGGAAUCUUCCGCAAUGGGCGAAAGCUUGACGGAGCAACGCCGCGUGAGUGAUGAAGGUCUUCGGAUCGUAAAACUCUGUUAUUAGGGAAGAACAAAUGUGUAAGUAACUAUGCACGUCUUGACGGUACCUAAUCAGAAAGCCACGGCUAACUACGUG